CUUGGGGAUAUAAAUUCAGCAGUUAAAUGAGAUACUAAUGAAGAUGGGAAUUUAAUGGUUGGCUGCCUGACUGUGAAGGGGGGAGGAGAUGAAGUCUGAAGAAAUAGUGGAGAAAACUCUGGCUAUGAGGACCUGCUGGGCUAAAAGAGCUGAAAUGAAUCAGAAAUGAAAACAGAGUACUUUGCACCAGAAGAAAGAUGCACUGCAUUUCUACAACAGAAGGACAAAGAAAUUGAGAGCGACAUUCUGAAAAUGUUACCUCAAAAAAAAGCUCCUAUUAAUGCUGGUGGGACUCGUGGAAAGAGCUCUGAAAAGGAAGACAAGAACAACUGUGGUUCAGAGAUGAGCAAUUUGCCCCAUAAUGUGAAGGAGGCUGAUGGAGGCUGCUACCGUGUGAUGGCUGCUCACUGGCCGUGGUGUCACAGACUGUGAAGGCAUCUGGCCUCGGUCCAGUCCCUGUUCUGUGCCAUGUACUGGAAAGAGCUGUGUCUUCUGUGCCACCAGCUAUUUCCAGAGUGCCAUGAGGAUGCAGAGCUUUGUGAGGCUCUGACUGUCUCUCUGGUCCAAAGAACAUCCUAAUCCAGUCACAGAGCAAAAAGGAGACUCGUGCAGGCUGUAUCCAUAUUUUCAAAUCCACUAUUGAAUGGAGUUGUCACUGCGAUGUUAGAAGAGCUUGCUAGGGGCUUGCCAGGUUGUAUGGUUUGAAUUAGCACAGUUGCUUGAAAGAAAAUCUGCCUUUACAAUACACACUGGGGUUUUAUUGAAUUGCAAAUGCUCCUAAGUAACUGCAGUCCACUGUGGCUGUUUAACUGUAUUAAGGCUGUUCCUUAGUUCUAAAUGCCUAAAUUUUGACCUCUCUGUGUCACAUUCUCUUAAGUCUUUACUGUUACUUUUUCAUUUUUCUUCCUGUUUUUAAAUCUUUGAAUCUGUUAAAAUCACUGCUAGUUUGAAUGCAUAAUUAUUCUGACCUCUCUCUGAAAUCUAUGGAAAUUCUAUGCAAUCAGCAAAACAUUUUCCAGAAAUAAAUUUGUGGUUGUCUUCUGGCA
rnacentral:lncRNA from 1 species